UUCAACAGAUAUUUGCAAGAGUUGAUGCCCUAAAAGAACAAAUAUAAAUCGCCACUAGAUUUCACUUGAAGACUUAACUAUGAAGACUCUACUUACAUGACCUAAUUUAUAAAUAGUUUCUGUGCAAUACUUCUGACCAAGAGAGGCAGUCACUAUGGAAUAUUGAGGUUGGAAAAUAAAAGGAGUGAAGACUGAGAAAUGAGUGAAUUGAUAUUCAAAAAAUGUAGGUGCCUCUUUGACUUAUGAUAUUUUCAACUUGUGAGUUUAUCAGAUAUAG